GAGGCCUUAUCUUAAUAAAAGUAUUUGAGUUGCAUUCAGAAGAUGAAGGUUGAUGUCUUUCAGGUCUCA
rnacentral:tRNA from 1 species